rnacentral:rRNA from 1 species
AUUGAACGCUGGCGGCAGGCCUAACACAUGCAAGUCGAACGAGUGGCGGACGGGUGAGUAAUGUCUGGGAAACUGCCUGAUGGAGGGGGAUAACUACUGGAAACGGUAGCUAAUACCGCAUACCAUCGGAUGUGCCCAGAUGGGCUUAGCGAGGAGGUGGGGUAAAGGCUCACUUAGGCGACGCUCCCGAGCUGGUCUGAGAGGAUGACCAGCCGAACGGUGACGGAGACACGGUCCAGACUCCUACGGUAGGCAGCAGUGGGGAAUAUUGCACAAUGGGCGCAAGCCUGAGGCAGCCAUGCCGCGUGUAUGAAGAAGUCCUUCGGGUUGUAAAGUACUUUCAGCGGGGAGGCGUUACCCGCAGAAGAAGCCACGGCUAACUCCGUGCCAGCAGCCGCGGUAAUUC